UACAGAGGUCCCAAGCGUUGUUCGGAUUCAUUGGGCGUAAAGGGCGCGUAGGCGGCCACCGCAAGUCAGUUGUGAAAGCUCUGGGCUUAACCCAGAAAGGUCAACUGAUACUGCGGGGCUAGAGUGCAGAAGGGGCAACUGGAAUUCUCGGUGUAGCGGUGAAAUGCGUAGAUAUCGAGAGGAACACCUGCGGCGAAGGCGGGUUGCUGGGCUGACACUGACGCUGAAGUGCGAAAGCUAGGGGAGCGAACGGG
rnacentral:rRNA from 1 species